rnacentral:rRNA from 1 species
CAGUCGCCACGGUAAUACGGAGGAUCCAAGCGUUAUCCGGAUUUAUUGGGUUUAAAGGGUGCGUAGGUGGCCUGUUAAGUCAGGGGUGAAAGACGGUAGCUUAACUAUCGCAGUGCCCUUGAUACUGAUGGGCUUGAAUGAACUAGAGGUAGGCGGAAUGUGACAAGUAGCGGUGAAAUGCAUAGAUAUGUCACAGAACACCAAUUGCGAAGGCAGCUUACUAUGGUUUUAUUGACACUGAGGCACGAAAGCGUGGGGAUCAAACAGGAUUAGAUACCCCGGUAGUCCCUGUCUCUUAUAC